UGAACUCUGAAGCUACAUGAAGUUUGAAAGUGUGUAGUGAUGAACUCUGAAGCUACAUGAAGUAUUUACCAUUUAACUGUUCAAUUAUUUUACAGUUAACACCACAACUCCUAUGAGUGUUUCUAAAUCUACACCUAAAACCAACCAAACCAAGGGAGAUAAGCAAACUCCCGGACCAAAAAAACCUCCAACAGAAUCUCCAACAACACCUCCAAAAGUAAAAACCACCCAAACCACCCCAAAUAAACACAAAGAUGGAUCCAGUGCCAGCAUAACAUACAUCAUCAUCAUCCUCGUCAUCAUCUUGUGUAUUACUGGAGCCAUUGGUUUCUGCUGUUAUCAGAACAAAAGCAGGACCUUCUCUCUAGACAGAAGCAGUAAAAGUGAAGAUGCUCAUAUUCCCCUCAGUACAGUGGAGCCGGAAGUGUUUGAAGCCAGCGCGUCUAAAGAUAUGGAAACCUUUACUGCGACUGAAACCUCUGGAACAGUUGAGAGCUCCCCACCGGCCGAGGCUGUGGAGAAAAAGGAAGAGGAAAAAGCAGCACCAGCAGCUGAAGCCCCUCAGCCGGAGAAGGAAAGCUCGGCUGAGAGCCAGGCCACUGUUCCACUAGUGGAGAAACCGGAGGAGCUGACCGUCGUGGAUCUGAAUGAUGAAGAGCAAGCCAUCUCCAACAAAACCUCUAUUGAAACUCUGGAGGAAACACCCAACGAAAACAACAGCAACAACCGAGCACAAGCACGCGGUGGGCACGUGAAAAAUGCUAAUGGCAACUUCAUUGAAAUCAACCUUGAUGACCUGCUUUAAGCCAAGCUGAACCCACUUCCUCUCCAUUUUCACACAAUGACUGAGAAGAAAAUGAGCCUCACACCUGACCAGACAAACGAACCUGCAUUACGGACAACACACACAGACUAUGUAUAUAUAUANNNNNNNNNNNNNNNAGUAACUGCAUAUUAUUUCAAGUAAAACAUUUUUAGGGCAAAAUAUAUAAAACUUUAAUUUAAAUGCAGUUACCUAAGAAAGGUCAGUUGCUUUAUAGAAACCCUUUAUUUAAUACUUUAUUACAUAAUUUAUUAGUCUAAUGUCUGUAUAUAGUAGGGUCAAUUCUAAAUUAUUAUAAACUAAAACUAUUCUAAAUUAUUAUUGUAUUGUUAUUAGCCUUGGUAUAGACCUGAAUUAUUAUUCUUUACAUUGAUUUAUAUGAUUUUAAAUGCUUAUAGUUAGAUUUUUGAUUAUCAUAUUUUUUGUAAUAUAGUAAAUAUUGGUAUUAAAAUGAAGUGCUUAUUACUAUAAUGCUCUAAAUCUGAGGGCAGCAUUUCAUCUCCAAUAUACGUAUAUAUAUAUAUGCAUUCUCCAUUCUGAUGUGAUGAUAAAAGCCAUGGGUAGGUUUUUUUAUUGCUAAUUUCAGGCUAUUUCAUUCUUGUAUUGCAUUGAAUUUUGUUAUUAUGUUAGGUUAAGUUUUUACCGGACUGUUUUUCUUUAAAUGAUUUUGAAAGAUUUGUAAUUUACUUGUAUUUACAGCAACAAUCAAACUAACUAAAAUUAUCUCAUUUUUUAGAAAUGGCAGUGUUAACAUUAUUACUAUCAUUAAUAUUAUAAUUAUUUGUGCAAGGAUUGUUCCCAGACAUUAGCAACCACGCAACACACAUCAGGGACUUAUUCAUACUUUUAUAUAUUUACUGUGUGUAGAUGCUAAAUGUUGAUACAUUGUCAUUUAAAUCAAACAAGUACAUUUUUGUCUGUAUACUAAAAUAUUUAAACUCUGUCUAAAUGUAUUUGAAUAUUUUUAAAAUCAAUAUAAUGUAUGUGUUUGUGCUGUGGUUUUAUAACUUAUGUAGGGAAAUUCAUAGGGACUAAGAAGGUUUUUCACAUACGGAUGCACCAAAUAUUCUGAACCUAAAAUGUGACCAAAAAGGGCACUAUUUUACUUACAUAAAUAAGUAAGACCAAAAAGUGCAAUGAUAUGAUGAUUUGAUAUAUGCUUUUUCUUUGACAGAAUAUCAAGACAAAAUACACAAUUUAAUUUCUGCAAUACUUAAAAAUUGCUAAAUGAUUGAAACCUGCAAAAAACUUUGAUAUUUUACCUCUUUUAUUUUAUUUUAUUUUAUUUAUUUGCUAAUUUGAGAUUCAGUCAGAAAAAAAAAUUGGAUUACAUAUGGGCAGAGCCUCCGUCAAGUAAUUGAAGAAGUUUUGACAAUCAAAUAAGUAUGUCUAAUUAGAGUAUGCUUUUAUUUUUUGUAUACUUUAUUUGUAUUUUUCAACCUCUGUGAAGAAACAGGAUGCAUGGGAAUGUGUGUUUGACUUUUAGCACUUGUAAAAAUUGUCAUUGCUGUUUAUCAUUAAUUGUUAUGUUAUUAUUAUUAACUUAAUGAUUAUUAGAAGCAAUCUGAACCUGAUCUGUUGCUGUAAACCUUCAUUAAAAAUUAUUCCACUGCUGUGUUUUAUAUGCUGCUGGUAGGCAGUCUGCUGUAGGUUGAGCCACUAUAAAAAUGCCUCCAUGCUUUACGGCUCAUAGGAAGUAGUUUAGACAGUAAGAGCUCUCUCAGCUUUCUUUAUGAGGCUUCUCCUCUUCUCCAGACAGUGUGGGAAGAUCCUGCUCAACAUCACUGCUACUGAUUUUAUAGAACAGGAUCUUAGGUUAAAUUUACACAGCAGGUAGGAUAGCCCAAAUCCCAUUUUCCCACCAAAUAAAAUAAAAAAAACUUGAUGUACA
rnacentral:lncRNA from 1 species